rnacentral:lncRNA from 1 species
UUAUAUGCUCCUUCUAUCUAGCCGUUCCAUUUUUAUUUGACGGUUGAGAUGGUUUCAAUCAUAAUGUCAUACCUCUGCACUAUCUUUUUUUUAAGAAACAUCAAAUUUUGGGUGUCCACUCCUCUUUUAAAGCAUACCCGUAAAAAUAUAAAAAUAAUAUUCUUAAUAAAAAUAAAAUGAUUAAAAUGCUUUUGAAAGAUUCAAGAGGUAUUUGGUUAUUACAUUUUAUUGAAAAUUUACUUUUAAUAUUUGUUUUAAGGUGCCCCAUUGGAAUGACAGCAGUACCAAAUUUCAUAUUCAAAUAAUUUUUUAAGAAAAACUAUAAAAAAAAUACUAUGGAACAUGAUCU